GGUGGUGCCCUGUAGUUUGUUGUGAUUGACCGUAUGAAUGGCCAGAGUUCCUAAUAGGGUUUAUCCUAACAUUCUAAUGACCAUCCAUGCUCAAGUAGAGAGUGACGAGUCAUGUGGUGAGAAUAGCAAGAGGUCCUAGGAUAGGCGCUUCUUGGAAGGUCUAUACCGCUUUAAAAGGGCUUACACUUGUGUGUGGUCUGGUGAAACCCUCGG
rnacentral:lncRNA from 1 species